UCAAUAACUCAGCUCUAUCUA
rnacentral:piRNA from 1 species